rnacentral:rRNA from 1 species
GACGAACGCUGGCGGCGUGCCUAAUACAUGCAAGUCGAGCGGAUUGAUUUGGAGCUUGCUCCAAUGAUGUCAGCGGCGGACGGGUGAGUAACACGUGGGUAACCUGCCUGACAGACUGGGAUAACGCUUGGAAACGAGUGCUAAUACCGGAUAGGCUUCCUGAUCGCAUGGUUGGGAAGGGAAAGAGGCUAUCGCCUCACUGUCAGAUGGACCCGCGGCGCAUUAGCUAGUUGGUGAGGUAAUGGCUCACCAAGGCGACGAUGCGUAGCCGACCUGAGAGGGUGACCGGCCACACUGGGACUGAGACACGGCCCAGACUCCUACGGGAGGCAGCAGUAGGGAAUCUUCCACAAUGGGCGCAAGCCUGAUGGAGCAACGCCGCGUGAGUGAUGAAGGCCUUCGGGUUGUAAAACUCUGUCUUCUGUGACGAACAAGUGCGUGAGUGGAAAGCUCGCACCCUGACGGUAACAGAGGAGGAAGCCACGGCUAACUACGUGCCAGCCGCCGC